UCUUUUCAUCAGCUUCUUGAUGAAUUCACUCAAUUCCAACUGACAGCAGAAGGAUUACUCACACUGAUAAAGGAAAUUGGCUGAAGCUACCCAGAAGGGCCACACCUCCAAAAGGUUUUUUUUAAGUACUUGAAACAUUGAUGCACGUGCCUCUCCUGGCUCAGAAGUCCAGGACCAAGGUUCCAGCUGUCUGGCUGCAUCCGCAUAUGGAGGAAGGCAGAAGACCGUUUCACUCUGUCACCAGGCUGUAGUGCAGUGGCGCGAUCUCGGCUCACUACAACCUCCGCCUCCCCAGUUCAAGAGAUUCUCCUGCCUCAGCUUCCCGAGUAGUUGGGACUACAGGGAUGAAGAGACCCCCAACUGUCUCUCUCCACCACGUGAGGAAACCAGGAAGAAAGCCCCCACCAGAACCUGGCCACACUGGCACCCUGCUCUUGGACUUUGCAGCCUCCAGAAUGAUGAGAAAUACAUAUUUGAUGUUUAAGCCACCCAGUCUAUGGUAUUCUUGUUACAGCAGCCUGAACUAAGACAAUGUCAAAGCAUGAAAUAUUUUAUUUCCUUCCGGAUACAGAAUCACAACUGUAGGUCCAAGUUUGGAAUAGGAUUAAUAAUGUUUUCUGACAAACAGUGAGACUAUGGUAUAUAAGUAGAGCAUAAAUGCUUCAGUGAAAAUUAUGUUAAGAAGAAAAGGCCUUAAACCAUUGAAUUUAUAGGGAACAUUCCAUUCUCCUUGCUAUAAUGCAAUUUUUGCCCAUAUCUACCUGCUCUGAUUAAUGAUAAGGCUUAUGAAAUGGACAUUUGUAGUGUCACAAAACCUUUCAUGCAUUUUACAAAGGAUAUCAUUAAUAAUCAAGUUAAAAUAACCUCAAAGGAAAAUAUCACAUUUCUUUAAAAGAUUUAGUGAUGCUCAAAGAAUGCAAUCUUGACUUUUCUGCUAAUGAAAUAGCUCCCAAAGUUUACAAGCAUUUGUAAUGCUAUAUGUUUAAAAAAUGAAAUAGAAAGUAUCAUUUAUUUUUUGGAAAGUUUGUGUGCAUUAUACCAGUUUGGCUUGGAAUAAGUUUGUGUUUAUUUAUUCUUCAAUUUAUUAGGUCUUCGUUGAAUAAUAAUUAUUUUCCCAAAUGUGCACUGAAGUUACAAAAUAAAACAGACACAAUCCUUGCCCUCAAAUUUCUUAUACUAUACUGGGAAAGAUAGAUAUUAGGAGGGUAAUAUUAACAUUCAUCAAUAAAGGACAUUUCAGAUGUAAGCAAGGAUACUAUGGCAGCCUAGAGAAAAAGCAUCUAACUGUGUUUAGGGUGUCAGGAAAGUCUUGAAGGAGACCUAAACUUGGCUAGAUAACUUAGAGUCCAAAAAGGUCAGGGUAAGAGUUUGGAAUUCCAUGCAGAGGAAAAAGCCUAAGACCAGAGAUUGGAGACUGGAGUUGUUGGUGAAUCAUGGCUAAAGAGAUAAGCACAGCACAGGUUAACAGAGGUCUUGUGAACCAUUUAUGGAGUACUGGCUUUGACUUUUUAAGUGAUUUAAGCAGCGGAAUUAUAUAGCUGAUUUACCUUUCAGUAAGAGCUUCUUGGUUGCAAUGUGGAAAAUGGAUUUGAGGGUGUCAUUACUAUUAAAUUUAAGACAUUACCUCUAUCUCUUCAGAGAUAUUAUUUUCUGUGACAAUAUGAUAAUGAAAUGUGUUUCAACAUAUUCCUUUUGACUAUCUCUACUCCCAUACCCCUCUCCCAAACUCAGGCCCUACGCAAACCCAGUAGUUAUCUCUUAAUACUCCAAUAUAGUGA